GGAAAACUUAGGGAACAUAAAAAGGCCAUAAUUAGCGGUUAAUUGGCAUAUUCUUUACAACAGUCUAUCCCUUUGAUUGUGGUUAAUUAUGAUAUUAUAAACCUUUGCAUUAUUACCUACAGGUAAAAAAGUUUCAGAAUGGUUUAAAACAGUUUGAAAGUAGUGCAUUUGGCUGUUGUGAUUGGACUCCCCAUAAUUAUUAUAUG
rnacentral:misc_RNA from 1 species